GGCCAGACUCCUACGGGAGGCAGCAGUGGGGAAUAUUGCACAAUGGGGGAGACCCUGAUGCAGCGACGCCGCGUGAGUGAAGAAGUAUUUCGGUAUGUAAAGCUCUAUCAGCAGGAAAGAAAAUGACGGUACCUGACUAAGAAGCCCCGGCUAACUACGUGCCAGCAGCCGCGGUAAUACGUAGGGGGCAAGCGUUAUCCGGAUUUACUGGGUGUAAAGGGAGCGUAGACGGUGAAGCAAGUCUGAAGUGAAAGGCGGGGGCUCAACCCCCGGACUGCUUUGGAAACUGUUUGACUGGAGUGCAGGAGAGGUAAGUGGAAUUCCUAGUGUAGCGGUGAAAUGCGUAGAUAUUAGGAGGAACACCAGUGGCGAAGGCGGCUUACUGGACUGUAACUGACGUUGAGGCUCGAAAGCGUGGGGAGCAAACAGGAUUAGAUACCCCAGUA
rnacentral:rRNA from 1 species